AACGAACGCUGGCGGCAUGCCUAACACAUGCAAGUCGAACGAGACCUCCGGGCCUAGUGGCGCACCGGUGCGUGACGCCGGGGAACCUGCCCUUAGGUUCCCAAUCCCUCACCGUGAGGGGUGCUCAUAACAGUUGAUGUCAUCGGGCCAAAGAUCUAUCGCCAUGGGAUGGGGCCGCGUUGGAUUCGCUGGUUGGUAGGGUAAAAGCCUGCCAUGGCGACGUUCCAUAGCUGGUCUGAGAGGAUGAUCAACCACACUGGGACUGAGACACGGCCCAGACUCGGACGGGAGGGAGCAGUGGGGAAUAUUGUACAAGGGGCGAAAGCCUGAUCCAGCAAUGCCGCGUAAGUGAUGAAGGCCUUAGGGUUGUAAUGCUCUUUUAGCCGAGAUGAUAAUGACAGUACCGGGAGAAGAAGCACCGGCUAACUCCGUG
rnacentral:rRNA from 1 species